UAAAAAUUUUAUGAUUUUAAAAGUUUAUUUAUAAUUUAUUUUACAUGUAAAUUUUAGUAUUAAUUUUUAAUUAUUUUAAUAAUAAUAGUAUUAUUUAACAGUAAUUAAAUUUAAAUAUUUAAGAAAUUAUGAUUUAGAAAUAUUAAAAUAAGUAACAAAUUUUGUGCCAGCAGUUGCGGUUAUACAAAAAUUAUAAUAAAUUUUUUUAGUUACAAUGAAUGUAAUUUUAGGUUAUAUUAAAUAUUAAAUUAUUAAGUGAAAUUUUAAUUUAAUUAAAAUUAUUUUUAUAAUAUGAUUUGAUAAAUUUAUAAAUAAACUAGGAUUAGAUACCCUAUUAUUAAAAAUUUAAAUUGAAAUGCUAAAAUAGUAAAUAAUUAAUAUUGAAACUUAAGUAAUUUGGCGGUAUUUUAGUUCAUUUAGAGGAAUCUGUUUAUUAAUUGAUAGUCCACGAAUAAAUUUACUUAAUUAAAAAUUUUGUAUAUCGUUGUUAAAAAAAUAUUUUUUAAUAAAAAUAAUAUUUAAAAAUUAAUAAAAAAAAUUAGUUCAGAUCAAGAUGCAGAUUAUAAUUAAGAAUAUAAUGGAUUACAAUAAAUUUAUUUAAAUGAAUAUUAUUUUGUAAUAAAUAAUUGAAAGUGGAUUUAAAUGUAAUUUUAUUUAUUUUAUUAAAAUGAUUAAAAAUUAAAAUAUGUACAUAUUGCCCGUCGCUUUCAUCUAAAAAUUGGAAUAAGUCGUAACAAAGUAGAGGUACUGGAAAGUGUUUCUAGAAAGA
rnacentral:ncRNA from 1 species